rnacentral:lncRNA from 1 species
AUUUAAAUGAUUUACCCAGGACUUAAUCACUUACUCUUGCUUGUUGUAGUUUUUCUUUAGAGAGCUCUGAUUUUUCCUCUAUUUUCAGUUCAAAUUUUCAUCAUUAUUUUCUUUUUUAAUUUUCUUUUUUUCCCUUUUGGAAUUAUUCCCUUUUUUCUUGCUUUGUAGAAUGUGCUUGCUUGCUUAUUUUUUCAUUAAGCAUUUUCAAUUCAUUUCCUCUUACUGAAAAAAAAUAAAUUUGUCUAUGACUUUGAUGUCUUUUGACCUUUCCUUAUUUCCAUGCUCAUUUUUUCCUUUAUGAAUUUGUUUGUGAUCUCAUUUUGUCCUCAUACUUCCUCGGUUGGUUUUCUUGUCCUCCAUCCCUUACUUUCUUAAAAGAAUUUAUUAAGAAUUCAUAAUGUCUUGGUCCCUCACCCAGUCACGAGCUUUGAAUUUUCUUUUGUCUAGAACAGCAAAGUUGUAAGCUUUUAGAGCUUUCCUUGAGUUUAGGAUUUACAGUUGGUAGUAAAGUCUCUGAUUGCCACAUUAUUAUUACUCUCUUAGGGUUCAUGACUAUUGCUGAGUUUAUAUCUAGGCUUUCCAUCUCUCUCUGUGUAUUGGCUCUGGACUGUUGGGACUUCUGUUUUUCCUCUGCAGCCACUGGCUUAAAGUUACUCAGAAAAAAUCUAUGCAAUAUCCAAAUGCCAGUCCUUGAAAUAUUUGAAGUUUUAAGACAAAGUAGCAAAGCUAGCAUCAUUGAUAUCCCUGAGAUUUAGAAGAUUGGAAUGGUUGCUGCUGAAAUAAUCAAGAGGUUGCGGUUUAUACUUGAUAAGAUGGAUAAAUGAGGAAUACUGAAGGACAUCAAGAUAUUUAUCAGGCUUGAACUAUCUACUUCUUGAACGAAGUAUUAAGCAACAGGAAUGAAAAGCUUUGGUUACUGGAGGAAGAUUGGUUUUAUUUUGAAAAAAAAGAAGGAAGAUGAAUUGAAGAUGGCAGAAAGGAAUCCUGAUAUCUGUCAAGAACUUUGGAGGGGAAAAAAUGCUCCAUAUAGAAUUCAUAAUGGAAGAGAAGAAAGCAAGGAAUUGUCUAAUAUUUAUUUUUUAUUUGGAGAAAGAUUUCAGAACUUUGGAUACAUAGGUUUCCAUGGCCUAAAAUUCUGCAGUAGAAUGUUAACUCCGGAGAGGUGGCAAAGAAAGAAAGAACAUAUGAAAUCACAAAGAAGAAUUAUUUUAUCUAAAAGGACUAGGGAGCAUUGA